UACGAGAGGCCCAAACGUUAUUCGGAAUUACUGGGCUUAAAGAGUUCGUAGGCGGCAUUGCAAGUAGGGUGUGAAAGCCCUCGGCUCAACCGAGGAAUUGCGCUCUAAACUGCAGUGCUUGAGGAACCUAGAGGUGAGCAGAACAGAUGGUGGAGCGGUGAAAUGCGUUGAGAUCGGAAGGAACGCCCGUGGCGAAAGCGAGGUCCUGGACGUCUGCUGACGCUGAGACGCGAAAGCCAGGGGAGCGAACGGG
rnacentral:rRNA from 1 species